rnacentral:lncRNA from 1 species
AGAUUGAUUCUCACUCUUCAGGAUAAGCAGUGAAGGGAAAUGCUACUGAAGAAAACAUGUAAAAUGUGUGGUCCACGUUUUGGAAAGACAAACACAGGAAACAAAGCAGAGAAAAAGACAUGGAAAUAAUCAAGCAAGCUUUAACAGUGUUUCUGAGUGGAUGAAAAAACAGCAGCUGGAAGGAUGGUGCCAUCAGAGACAGACAUCCAGACUGAAGAAAGGCUCUGAAACUGCAAGCGGUAUUCCAGAAAACUGGGAAGUGCACUGAUACAGUGUCCUUUCUCAAGGACACCCUGAUUAACGAGAGACAAUCAAGUGCCUUUCUGUAAUACAGAUUUUCCAUUUGGAUUAAGUUGCAAGGUUUUGUGUGGAAAGUAUUCUUAUUGUGGGCAGUGCACAUAUUUGCCAGAUUCUCUAUGUUGUAAUGUUGGCCAAACCUAUAGAACUGAACAAUGGUGUAUAUUAUGAAUGGAUCUUUGGAAGAAAUCACUCUAUGCUGAACAUCAAUACUUUAUGUUAAUGAGGAAUUACUUGGACUAGGUUUGGAUGCACUGUGCCUGAACACCUACUGAAGUGCAUGAGUUGAGCAUGAGGAAGUACAGCUUUCAGUUUAGUUCCAUCUGAAGGGGGAACCACUUCAAAAUACAAUAAAAAGCUUGUUUUGAUUGAGUGAAUCA